AUGAAGGUUGAGGUUGAAGUGAUCUUCAAGGAGAUUAUCAAGCCAUCAUCUCCAACCCCUGACCAUCUUCGCUAUUUGCAGCUCUCUUUUCUUGAUCAACUAGCUCCCCCAGUCUAUAACCCUUUUGUCCUCUUUUAUGAAUUCAAUGGCGAUAACAGACAAGAUACUUGAAAUUGAUGGAAUAUUAUUGGAAUUGACGGAAUGUUAUCGGAAUUGA
rnacentral:lncRNA from 1 species